rnacentral:rRNA from 1 species
AGUUUGAUCCUGGCUCAGAUUGAACGCUGGCGGCAGGCCUAACACAUGCAAGUCGAGCGGUAGCACAAGAGAGCUUGCUCUCUGGGUGACGAGCGGCGGACGGGUGAGUAAUGUCUGGGAAACUGCCUGAUGGAGGGGGAUAACUACUGGAAACGGUAGCUAAUACCGCAUGACGUCUUCGGACCAAAGUGGGGGACCUUCGGGCCUCACGCCAUCAGAUGUGCCCAGAUGGGAUUAGCUAGUAGGUGGGGUAAUGGCUCACCUAGGCGACGAUCUCUAGCUGGUCUGAGAGGAUGACCAGCCACACUGGAACUGAGACACGGUCCAGACUCCUACGGGAGGCAGCAGUGGGGAAUAUUGCACAAUGGGCGCAAGCCUGAUGCAGCCAUGCCGCGUGUAUGAAGAAGGCCUUCGGGUUGUAAAGUACUUUCAGCGAGGAGGAAGGCAUUAAGGUUAAUAACCUUGGUGAUUGACGUUACUCGCAGAAGAAGCACCGGCUAACUCCGUGCCAGCAGCCGCGGU